GAACUCAAAGGAGACUGCCAGUGAUAAACUGGAGGAAGGUGGGGAUGACGUCAAGUCAUCAUGGCCCUUACGACCAGGGCUACACACGUGCUACAAUGGCGCAUACAAAGAGAAGCGACCUCGCGAGAGCAAGCGGACCUCAUAAAGUGCGUCGUAGUCCGGAUUGGAGUCUGCAACUCGACUCCAUGAAGUCGGAAUCGCUAGUAAUCGUGGAUCAGAAUGCCACGGUGAAUACGUUCCCGGGCCUUGUACACACCGCCCGUCACACCAUGGGAGUGGGUUGCAAAAGAAGUAGGUAGCUUAACCUUCGGGAGGGCGCUUACCACUUUGUGAUUCAUGACUGGGGUGAAGUCGUAACAAGGUAACCGUAGGGGAACCUGCGGUUGGAUCACCUCCUUACCUUAAAGAAGC
rnacentral:rRNA from 1 species